rnacentral:misc_RNA from 1 species
GUGUCUGGCAUGUGCAUUCUUAUCUCAACUUUUAUAGCAAAAAUCAAUCAAUAUGUAGGAUAUUUAUCAUUUGAAGUAACAUGCAGAUUACAAAUUUUACGGUCUAGAGGUCCGGAAAUUGAAAUGAUAUUAGAAGUACAAACUGUAAAGUGCUGAAGACAUUGAUUGCUUAUAUGUGUAAUGCCAACAACAACCCAACAAAUGGGCUAGGCUUUGAUUGAAGUGGAAUUGCAACGGUGCAAGGCCGACAAUGCUCUCACUACUUCAGUCAUUGCCCAUUCGUGGCUGGAGCAUAACCUGUCCUGUAUUACACAAAAGCUGCAUGGGACUCGAUUAAGGAGAACGCAAGAAGAUACCAUGAAUUCACUCAUGCUGAUUCUGAUUGCUAAAUGGUCACAUCCCUCUCAAGGCUGCAAACCGAGCGGCCAAGUCAUCAUAAUCAGGUAACUUGGGAUGCACAUGCUUGGCUGUGCUUGACUUGUCUGGCUGGAAGGAAGCGGCGCGAGUAAACACUUUUGUUGCAUUUGAAGGAGCUGUUUGCUCAGGAGGGAGAGAAAUUGAUCGGGGUGGUGGAAGAAUCUCUGAGAUUUCACUAGGCCCGUCUUUGUUACCAUGCUGUGGAGAUUUAUCCUCCUCGGCGUCUUGGUGAUUUGCAUGAUGACUUUUGGACUUCCUUCUGACCUUUCCAGGUUCAUAGGCUGAUGGCUUCUUACUGUAAUGAAUCAACAGUUUAUCUAUCAUUCUUUCCUCUUCAUCAUUCCGAUAGUGCUCGUCAUCAAACAAGAUUUGCAGGCCCCGUCUUGAGUCAUCCCUUCUCCUGCUUUUUGAUCUCCUCUUGACAACUCCUAUGUCUUCCAAAUUGCCGACAUCAUCAUGGCUAGUGUGUGAUUUUGAGUGCCUCCUCCUUGAGGAUCUUGGUUUUGGUAUCGGGUUACUACAAAUACCUUCAUCCUGGUGUCUAUCAUUCUCAUGCACAUUAUCACUUGCUCUUGUAUGUAUAACACUUCGCCUCUCACGGUCAGGAUGAUAUGCUUCUUGUAGGAUUUUCUCAGACCUAUUACCAGCAUUGGCUCUGUUGUCCCUUGAAAAAUCUUGCGAGACUACAUUACUAUCAGAGCCAGUAAAGGAAGAUCCUAAACUGCCUUCAUAUUUUCCGUCUUUCAGUUUGGCAUUGGGUUUAGUGUAAGGAGGGGGGAUGGCAUUAUUAUAGCACGGUUUGAACUUACGUGCUUCCUCCUGAACAUUUCUUGCUGACUUUGCAGCAUCAUAUUGGCCAGAGUGAUGAUUACCAGCCACUGAAUCUCUGGCAUCACCCUUUGACCAUGAUCCUGCAUAACUAGGCAGAACAUCUGGCUUUCCAUGAGAUAAAUGGCCAUCUCUUAUGGGUGCAGCAUUCUCCCUACCAUCAUGCAAUUUGUCUCCGCCAUCAAAACUUUCUAUUCUUUUCCUCUGAGAUGAACUGCCUAAUCUAACUGUUUUCAGGGGAGUAUCCUCCUUUGAGGGUUCACGCUUCUCCACAGCAACUUCUUGCUUUCCUUGGAACAAACUAUCAUGGGUUUCCCUUUUCAGCAUAUGCUCUUCCCCGACAUUUAUCAGCUUGUAUCCAUUGCUAGGGACUUGAUUUCCGGACUGAGAAUUAAGCUCAUUUCUCCUUGAGGUAUUGCUAUCCUUUCCAUUAAGUAAUCUGUGAUCAUCAUUGUCACGCUCAAGCCUUUCUUUGAGCGAAAAAUCAUGUUUGCCUUUCAGGACAGUGUUCUUGCCAUUAAUUGACUUGUAUUGAUCAUCAUGGACAUUUGGAGACCCAUAAAUUUUAAGUUGCUCCUGCAAAAUAAUCACGUAAAGAAGAGACCAACAUUCAUCCUCCCAAAACCCCUACAAAUCCAAUCCCCAAAAGAUAACAAAGUGAAGAAAAUGAAAAACUCCUUUUUUAAAAAAAUAUUAGGAGAAAGAAAUUGAAACAGCCAUGUCUUUUAACCUAAACAAUUUCCAAUAUGAGCUUGCAACCCAAACCCUCCUACAAUUCAGGUGUAAGGCCAGGAAAAAAACAGAAAGAAUAGAGGGACAAACCUGUGCAGGUGCAGAGGGUUUAGAUACCCUUUGUUCAAAAGACCUGGAGUCCCAUUUUAUGCCGACUUCUGAAGCUAUAUCAUGCAUUAGCUGAACUUUCUUCUCUGUUGUAGAUGGCUUUGAAGAUAAAUUCUCAACAAACUCUUGGUUAGCAAACAACUCCACAGAGUUCCCAUAUCUCUCAUAAAAUAUAUCCCUAAGGUCACGUAACUCUGGCAAAUCAGAAAACCUUGCAGCUGCAAACAUUAUAGAUGACACAGCCUCCCUACAGUCCUCAGGGCAGUGCCUGUGGAGAUGACAGUGAAUCAGGAAAAUAUCAGUUCAAACUUAUAAGUCAAUAUCAUUUCAUUCUAACUAAACCAUAAGGUUAAAUUUAAAUAGAUCAGGCAAGAGAAAUGCAGCAUUCAUAUCAUACUACAUCAGCCAAAAGCAUACAACUAAUAGUCUAUCAUAGGCUAUCCAUAGCAAUCACAAGCAUAAUUUGUUAGUACCCCCAUAGUAACACCCAUUGCUAGUGUUUCACUCUGGUAAUACCAUAGUCAAAAAGAGCUGCAUAUGAUUCUCCUGAAACUGAAAAAAGGGCCUACCAAACACUUCAAUUAAAUACAUAAAACUUCUCUUGGGGAAGCAGACCAGCCAUAAGCAUCUACCAGUUAAUGAAACUAUCAGCACGAUUAUGAUACAGAACAUCUAAAACCUUUUCUAUUGAAUGGCAUUUUGUUGUAUCCGCAUGGAAUAUUUUUGCCAAUACUAACAGAACAAAGUUCAUGCACAGAUAUCAAGUUCCAAUCUCUGUUUUACAAAAAUAUAAAUUUCAUCCACUGGUUUCAGGUCCCUUUUCCUUCGGCA